AGACCUUCGGGUCUAGUGGCGCACGGGUGCGUAACGCGUGGGAAUCUGCCCUUGGGUUCGGAAUAACUCGCCGAAAGGCGUGCUAAUACCGGAUGAUGUCGUAAGACCAAAGAUUUAUCGCCCAAGGAUGAGCCCGCGUAGGAUUAGCUAGUUGGUGUGGUAAAGGCGCACCAAGGCGACGAUCCUUAGCUGGUCUGAGAGGAUGAUCAGCCACACUGGGACUGAGACACGGCCCAGACUCCUACGGGAGGCAGCAGUGGGGAAUAUUGGACAAUGGGCGAAAGCCUGAUCCAGCAAUGCCGCGUGAGUGAUGAAGGCCUUAGGGUUGUAAAGCUCUUUUACCCGGGAUGAUAAUGACAGUACCGGGAGAAUAAGCCCCGGCUAACUCCGUGCCAGCAGCCGCGGUAAUACGGAGGGGGCUAGCGUUGUUCGGAAUUACUGGGCGUAAAGCGCACGUAGGCGGCUUUGUAAGUCAGAGGUGAAAGCCUGGAGCUCAACUCCAGAACUGCCUUUGAGACUGCAUCGCUCGAAUCCGGGAGAGGUGAGUGGAAUUCCGAGUGUAGAGGUGAAAUUCGUAGAUAUUCGGAAGAACACCAGUGGCGAAGGCGGCUCACUGGACCGGUAUUGACGCUGAGGUGCGAAAGCGUGGG
rnacentral:rRNA from 1 species